GGGAGGGGGAGCAGGGGGCAGGACAGGCGGUGAACAGGAGGGAGUCUGAAAGUUUUCAGAGAUGAGACAUUUGCGUUUCUCAGCUCCCAUGGCUUCUUGCCUGAAAUUGUUUCCCUCCAUAGGAGAUUUGAGUAACCGAUCCCUUGACAAACAACUUAAGACAGCUGGAGCUCUAAUCAUCAAGGAUUUUUAUGGUGCUGCUUUUGAAGUAAAAAUAGUGAAACCCCUUAUGGCAUUUCAAGUGGAAAAAUAAAUAAGACUGGCUGUCCAACCAGCCGGAUGUAAGGUGAUGGCUGGAAGUGCCGAGAGUGGUGUGGUUCCAUGUUGUAGGUAUGCACGUGCUCCCAUGGCCAUGACCUUUGAGACAGUGUAGGCUAGUUUGUCAGGUCCUGUGCUGAGUAUUCACCUCUGAAUCUCCUUCUUCUAGAAAGCAUGGUAGGAAUACUGCCUGUCCAAGGCACAGGGCUGUCGUGAGGUUUUAUUGAGUCACAGUCGUGAAGGGCUUUGGUAAUUUCAUAGAAGAUCACCUGUUCUACCUAGGCUUUAAAUUUGUUGCUAUAAAAUUGAGUAUGGUUUUCUCCUGUUCACUUAAGUCUCCCCAUUGUCACUUUAUUCCUUUUUUCAUUCAAAACUUGCCAAAGAUUUGUCUAUUUUAGAGGUAUUUUCAAAGAACCAAACUUUUAUCGAUCAUAUCUGCUGGGUAAUUUUCUUACCUGAUUCUUUUAUGCUUUUAUCUCUGAAUUCUUCUUUUCUGUGUUUCUGGAUAGAUUUCGUGGUUCUGCAAAGUCUUGACAAGCUGAGGAGUCAUACCUGGAAAGGAUGAUAAAGAGACUGGGAUGAAAGUAAAAUGAAGGACCACCACUAUCUGGCUGCCCUAGAAUCAGAACCCAAAAAGGCUUUUUGGGAUAAAGAGGUCAGUCUAUCUAAAGCUAGCAAAUUGUUGGGAGAUACUAAGGAAAUCUAAAGCUGAAAUGCUAUUGGCAGGCCCCUAAACUCAGCCCUAAGAACUCUUCAUUUCCAUCCAACUGGGAACCAUCACAAACGAGGAUCUGAUGGGAGUUGGGGAGUAACCCAGUCAGAACAGCCUUUGAGAUGGGAUUCUGUCGGCAAGAAACAGGACAGCAUUUGAGUGGUGACAGUAGCAGGGCCAUGGAGAAGGCUACUGGCUUCUCUAGAUGACUGGGAAUGGGGAGAAGUAGACAUAAGGAGUGAGUGUGGGUGAGGCAGGGACACAGGAGAAAAGGUAGGCUGGGGAGAAGGAAGCAGUGAAAGAUGAUAGAAGGAAAGCCAACUCCUAUUGAAUAGCUGCAGGAAAGGAGGCCAGAGAAGGGCUGUCACCUGUGUCCAUUUGGUGGGCAGAGCCAGAACCCUGUCUUCUACCAUCCAAUGCAAAGUUCACUCCCCAACGCACCAAAAUGUGUGAAAGGGCCACUGUUCUGAAAAGAGGAAUGACUGAAGAAGUGCUCUCCCUGAUGGAAGAUGGUCCUGCCUAGGGAGCUUGGCCUGUCUCAGCCCAGCAACCCUCCCUCCCCAGUAUCUUCCUGAAAGUCCCAGGAAGAACACAGUUUGAUCUGCCAGGCUUCAAGGGGAGAAUGAAGUAUGUUGAGAAAAACUUCUAUUGUUAGGCAGGCUUGAGGUGAAGAAGAGAACCUGCCUAAGCAGCAACUGAAGGCUUCAGACAGAAGCCUUGGGUCUCCCUUUGGGAUCCUGGAAAAGGGACUCAGAGGCUGGGCAGAGAUAGACUUUAAGGACUGAAGAACCUUGAUGCAAGGCUUGAGAGAGUCCCAGCGCUUACGCCCUGCCUUUGUGACUAUACCUCACCUGUCUCAUAGAGAACACACCACCACUACAGCAUCGGCCCCAAGGCACAGUCUCCGUAAAUGUUAUUUCCUCUGUUUUAUGGCUCCCUGCCACUGGCCUUUACUAAGCUCCAGCCUGUUAGGGAUGUGAUCUGAUCCCCCAGCUCUCCCUCUCAUUCAUUCAUUUGAGGAGCAUUUGCCAGGCUCUUUUCCAAGCUCUGAGAAGCUGGUGCAGAAUGACUGUGCCCUCCUUGAGGAGCUCAGAUCAGCAGGAGGGAGGGCAGAGUCAUUCUUGUGGGUAGAUAAUACCAUGUUAUUAGGGCUUUAGUGGAGUUAGGUAGAGAUUAUUUGGGAGACCAUAUCUCAGUACCUCUGUGUGAAGUCCAUUAAUUAUUUUUUACCUUCUCUGCAAAGGCAGUAUCCUGAAAAGGAAAACACCAAGGUGUAGCUUUCUUUCUGGGAGACCAAAGUCCUCAGUUUGAGCCCCUACUUAGCCACCAUUUUACCCAGCAACCCUCCAUGGAUUUCCCUCUCUUGGAGAGUAACCCCUGUCUGUCCAGCCUCCUCCCAACGAGGAACCAGAGGAAGCAUAUGUUUGAGAGUGCUUUGUCAAAUAUCCCAAAGGGUCAGAUAUGAGUCUUCUUCAAAGACUAAUCUUCUGGGUGGUUCUGGCCUCUCAGUACUUUUCCUGAGCAGCUUGUGUGGAGCCUGUACUUGGACAGCUCAACACCUUUUCCAAAGCCAAACCCUCUGCCAGCCUCCUGCCCCACACUGGUAGUGGUGACCCUCCAAGGAGGGGGCAGGCAGGCAGGUGCUAAGGCCCUGGGACUGAUUCCCAUCCAUUUUCCAUGUGGCUUUGCUCUCCUUACUGUUCUCUAGGCCUCUGUUUCCCCAUUUAUAAGUCAAGGAGGGGGCUGGACCAAGAUAUCUUUAACAUUUCCAAAGCUGUCUUCUGUGAAACAUCAGUGACAUUUAUCUCCUUGUUAUUUUAGUCUUAGAGACAGUGGUUGAAAGAAAGUAUAUUAAGACAAUCAAGUGUUUAAUCAAAGGAUCUUUUGCAUUAAAAAAUAAACUUGAAGUCUCUUGGGUGCAGAACUGUCAAGGAUCUUAGCUUAGAGCCAAAGAAGACAUGGAAGUGUCUAUGAGGCAGGAAAGACAGACAAAGCCCUUCAGUAAUUCCAUAUUGUUUAUGGGCCCAAUCCCUUGGCUUGGUCAUCAAGGCCCUGCACAACCCUUGAAGAUAAGGGGCUUAGUCUUUGUUCCUUGACCAAGCACAGAAUUUACCUGACCAGGCCUGGCAUAGUACCUGCUGGUUGGCUGACCUGGUGGCUAGAUGAAUAGGUGGUUCAAUCAAUUGCUAAGAGUCCCUAAGUAAUUGGGUGGCCCAGUCUUUCCUAGAAGGAAAGGAACUCUGUUUGCCUCCCAAAUCUCUUGGCAACUCUGAAGUGACAGAGAUUAUUUUCCAGCCUCCAGACUAGUAUUGUGAACAAAGAUAUGCGAGAAGAACCUUAUAAAAGACUGCCCAGCCUGGCAUCCUCGCUGUGGCAGCAGCUCACAUGUGGUUUAGGAGUAGCCCCACCAGGUGGUAGACACCCUGUAAGGUCUGGAUGUAGGUGGACUCCUGGGUCACUUGUAAGCCAAGGGGAUUCCCUCUUCUUCCCUCCCUCUACCUUUCCCACCCCCUAACCCUGCAUAUGGGACUUCCCCAGCUUUCCCGCUUUUAUGAAUUCCUCCCCAUAGGCUGGCAGGCAGGUGAGCUUGCAGGAGUGCAGAUCGUGAACUACUGUUUCACAGAGAGUUGACCGAAGCUCUGCUGAGAGGUUUCUUGACUUGCCCAAGAGUUCACAGCUAGGCCAGGCUGGCCCUUGAUUCCUGAACUCUGAUCACAUCUUAGAUGGUCCUCUGCCUUGCUCAUUUUCCCAUUUCCAUCUCCUCUUCCCCUCCUAGAUCAUGAGUGUCCUCUUUAGACAGUCUGAGAACUCCCUGCAGCCGGGCCCCACUGCCACACACACCCAUAUGAGCCCAUCACCGGGAUUUAAGUCCUUUCAUCCUAUUCCCUCAGACCAUUCCAGGGAAAAACUGUCCUCAGUCCAACCCCCAGACUCCAGCUACAAUACUGUGGGGGUUAGACUACUAUUCACAGAUGGGGUGGGCCAUUUGGGGGGCUGCUUUUUGGUGGUUGGCUUUUGGUUUUGUUUGUUUUUACUUACUGGCCAAAUAGGAUCCAGUUCUUCUUUCCACCCUCAGAGCCAUUUUUAUGAACGCCAUAUGGUUCCAUUUUGUACUGACAGGAACUGGGGACCACAGGCACAUAGCACACACCACAGCUACUGUGACUAAUAGCCCUGGCAGCUGUGCCCUCCUAACAGUCUGGGUGUGCAGUAUGAGUGAUGUCCAAAACCAGCAAGAUUGGAUUGGGCCUCCCGAUCCCUGGUCGUGAUGACACCACUGCACCUCUAGUCCUGUCUCUCCGGUCCCUUGAUCUUUCCUAUAUCCAUCUCCUUCUUUUAAUUCAGAUCAUCUCUUGCUGAACAGUUGCACCAGAUGUCUCUCUGCUUUCAAUCUUGUCUCUUUCAACCCAUCAACCAAAUGGCCACCAUUGGCCAUCUUUACCAGCUUAGGUCAUGUUCUGUGGCUCUUGGCUUAACUUCGUCCUUCCCUAUUGCCUAGAGGAUGGCAUUCUCUCUGUUAAUGGAGCAGAGCAUUUCACAGCCUGGUUCCCUACCCCUAGGUGUUCCUGCUCUGCUUCUGCAGGUGCCCAGCCAGAGGAGCCCACCUGUCCUCCCGGAAGAGAUGGCCCCUUUCACUUGAGAUUCCAGGAGAUUGCCCAGGGAGAAGGUGUGGAGGGAGGGGUUUUGAGAAGGAAUAUGAAGCCUCCAGUGGUGAGCAGUACCAGCAAGACAACCAAGAAGAGGCAGUUGGGUUGGUCAGUUAGGAGGUCUUGUCAUCCAUCUUGGGGUUGGCAGAGCAAUAGAGACAGACAUCACAUCACCAUGGGAAGAGAAGAGAAUAAGAGGAAGAAGUGGAGAUGAGAGGAACAGGUCACCUCUUCCAACUAUGAAGGGAAAGAGGUGGAUGAGUGGAAGUGACCCGUUUGGACUGGUCUUUUUUUAUGUAGCUAAUAUUUGGCCUGUGCUUUUCUGGAUCAGGCCCUGAUGAGCAUUUUGUCAACAAUAUCUCCCUGAAACCUUAAGAGAACAUCCUAGGGUUGACGUGGUUUUGCCCACUAUACAGAAGAGCUUCAAAAGAUGAAGGCACUUUCCCAAGAUGGGGGGCAGAGCUGGGAUUUGUGUCCCAUUCUGUUGCCCUUCAGAGCCUCACUUUCACCACUGUCCUUGUCUUCCCUGUAGUCAUGAGGGGAAGAAGGAGGUGGAGGGCUGCCUGCAGUUAGGGAGCUGGGGCAAAGGCACCAGGGAGGCUCCCGGUGCUCAGAUAGGACUGGAAGUCUGGGACACAUCAUUUUUCAGAGGGGGAAGAGGCCAGGGAAGAGAGAGGCUAUUUUUAAUAGCCAAAUAGAUAUGAGCCCAUUAAAAACCAGGAGGAAAGGAAUAAAAUGUUUAAUAAAAUCUUUAAGUAUCUGAGUGGAGGACCUCUCUAAGCUGAAAAGCAAGGAAAUGACACCAAGAAGAGAAAGGCCAACAGCGAACAGGGAUAAGUGAUGGCCUGUGUCCCAAGUGGCCUGGAGUGGACGGCACUAGAUGGACAGAUAGGGGCUUAGCCUUGGAUAGCAAGCAUGCAACGACCCACCCACCCAAACCUGGGAGGCUUAGCACUCGGCAGGUGACCUCAUCUGUUCUCAAGCCAUCACUGGGAGGUACUCAAUAAAUAUUUGCUGGGGUGAAAUAACUGAAAUGGGAAAUUAGAUCAAAGAGGAAAAAUACCAGCAUUAAGCUAUUGAUGAUACAAGAAGUGUCCAGGUGCCGUGGCUCACGCCUAUAAUCCCAGCACUUUGGGAGGCCAAGGCGGGUGGAUCACCUGAGGCCAGGAGUUCGAGACUAGCCUGGCCAACAUGGCAAAACCCCAUCUCUACUAAAAAUACAAAAAAUUAGCUGGGCAUGGUGGCAUGCACCUGUAACCCCAGCUACUCGGGUGACUGAGGCAUACGAAUCGCUUAAACCCGGGAGGCGGAGCUGCAGUGAGCCGAGAUCAUGCUGCUGCACUCCAGCCUCAGUGGCAGAGCGAGACCCUGUCUCAAAAAAAAAAAAAAAAAAAAAAGAUGAUAGAGGAAGGCCAGGAACCACCCUUGGCUAGUUAAGUUGGGCUGCCUGGAGUAUUGAGAAUUGACACCUACAUGGUGGCCAGUACUAGGAUGACCAACCUCUCCUAUGGGCACAGUUCUGUACAGUUUACAAGGGUUUUUUUUUUCUUUCUUUUUUUUUUUUCGGUGGGGGCGGGCCUCACAUACUCAUGGUAUUACCCAUUUAGGGUCUUGAGGUUUGAGGACCCUAUGUAGACUUACCCUCAGUCUGUUGGGUGAGUUUGCUUCUAUCAUCUUGGAUUCUUGAUUAUCCCUAUUUUUUAGAGGAGAGAACAAACUUCAGUUCUUCCAGAAAGAACUGGCAAAAAUAGGCCUGUACUCCUCUGACUUCACUGUCUUCUUUACGCACCAUGCCACUUUCCUGAACAAUAUACAAGUUUACCAUGUAAUUAUUUUAGAACCCAGGGUCCACAUAUUUUUGUGGUCAAGAUUCGACGGGCAAAGUCCUCACACUGAGUUUUCCCAGCAAGGAUGCUUUCCACUCACUUGCUGGAUGGCUGUGGGUCACCUCCCCUCACUGGGCCUUGGUUUCCCCGUCUGUGAAAUGAGGUAGUUGGAUUAGAUAAUUCCACAGUUCCCUUCCAGCUCUAGCAUUACCCUCAGAUACCCUGGUGCCUAGAGCAGUAAUUGAACAAGGAGGAUGGGGACCCCAGGUUCUGGGUCAAGAACUCAUCUUGCAGCAUGGAGGAAUCGUGAUGAUGGCUGCAGCCCCCAGAAGGUGAACUUGGCAGGAGCUGGCUGAGAUGAUUUUUCUGCUGAUGGUGAAAUGUGCUGGCAGAGUCUAUACAGGUAGGUUGGUGUAGGUGAGGAGUGGGGUGGGCAUUUUGUCUCUUGUGACCCCGAAUAAUGUUUCCUUGCAGAAUUGGAAGCCUCUAGGACAGGUGGAUGCCAGCUAGAUUUAGCCAUUCACAUUGGCAAAGUAGGUGAUCCAUCUUUCCACACACUCUUCUGUCAGGCUUCCAGAAAGGCUUUCUGCUCCCAUCCCUUAAACACCUCCCUGUGUUUCACUGUCACUGUGCCUGGAAUCAUACCUUCCUGUAGCCUUCCAGUUCCUGUUCAGGUGGUAUGUGCUCUGAGAAGGCUGGGACCAUAAAUGCUGUAAUCAGCCGGGAAUAGCUAAGCUCAGAGCCAGAGCCAAGAAGGAAAGGGUUACCCAAAAUUGAGGCAUGAACUGUUGAUUCACUAAAAAGAGAAAAAGUCCAUUCCAACUUCACCUCAGAGCACACACCCAAAUUCAAAAAUUAUUUUCAAAGGUCAAAAGGAAAAAUGAGCCCAUUAAAAACCAGAGGGAAAAGGAAUAUUUAACAAGUGACUGAAUGAGGGAGCCCAUUUAAGCUAAAAAGCAGCAAAAUGACAUCAAGAAGGCAAAGGCCAACCAAUUUGACUACAUUAAAACUAAAUAUUUUCAAAGUCAAGUAAUAUCACAAACAACCAAAAAGCAGAGUGGUUGCAGAUUCUUAAUGUAUAAAAGAACACACCCAAAACUUUAAUAGUAAAAGCAAAACAGGUAAGUGUGUGUAAGUCACCUGAAUUGAGUUUACAGGAAAAGAAAUGGAAUUGACUGAAAAACUUUUUGAAAAAACAUUCAACUUCACUAAUAACCAAAGAUCAACAAUAAAAACAACAAGGAAAUACAAAUUUUCCCUAACAAAUUAGGGGAAGAAAUUUAAGAAUACCCAAUGUUCAUGAGGAUAGUGGAAUAGGCACUGUUUCACACUACUGGGGGGAAUGUGAAUUGGUGUACACUUCUUGGAAAGUCGGAAGAAGAGAGAAGUUUUCAGAGAGAGUAAGUGGCCUGUAACUUUACUCAACAUUUAUUGAGUAUCUACUUUGCGUCAGGCAUGAUGAUAGGUUUUUAAAUAUUGGCCAGGCACAGUGGCUAAUGCUUGUAAUCUCAGCAGUUUAGGAGGCCAAGGCAGGAGGAUUGCUUGAGCUUAGAAGUUCAAGACCAGCCUAAGCAACAUAGCAUGAUCCUGUAUCUAUAAAAGUACACACACACACACACACACACACACACACACACACACACACCUGAAGAUAAAUAUGAUCCUUGCCCUUGGGAGUUCAAAGAGUUAAGAAAAACACACAGACAGACACUAAAAUGAUACAUAGGAAGGAGAAGGCCAGAGAGGUGCCUGGGACAUGGAAGCAUGGGCAGCUGGGGUUGGUGGUGCAGGUGUGAAAUUUCAUGGGAAUAUCCAAGGAGGUUCCUAGAAGAGGUGACUGGAUGGGUAGGAGUUACUCAAGUAGAAGGCAGAGGCAGAGGUGAGAGCCAUCAUGGAUGAACUCAGACAGCUGGGGAUUGCUGAAGCAUGAAAUGAGAGGCUAGGGGUGGAGAAAGCAGAACCAGAUCACAUAGUGUUACUAUGUCUAAUUUAAGACUUGGGUCUUCAAUUGCAGCAGGGAGCCCCUGAAGCAUUUUGUGCAAGCAGGUGCCAUGGUAGGAUUUCUCUUUUGAGGUGAUUACUCUGGUUGCUUGGAGAAAUUUGGAGGCGUGUGGGCCAGAGAGGAGAUGAUUGCCUUGGUCCAGGUGGGGUCCAGGAGGGAUAAGGGUAGGGGCCAAGAGGAUGGAAGGAAGUGGUCGGAUCCAGGAGGUGAAAUUGGGAGAAUCUGCUGACUGGUUGGUUGCUGGUGUUAAAGAAAGACAGUAAAGGAUACCUUUCCUGUUUUCUGUCGUGAGUGACUGGGUGAAUGGAAGAACACCUAGGAGAAAGAGCAGGUUUGGGGGCUAAGAGAAAGUUAUUGAGCUCAAUUUUGGACAGGUUGAGUCAGAGGUGGGCAUCCAGGAGGAGGUGGCCUGCAAGGAGCUAGAUAGAGGGUCUAGAUCCAGCAGGAGAUUUAAACAAGAGAUUUGGUUUGAGACUAUGGUCAUUGUAGCCAUGGGCUUUGGUGAGCUGGCUCUAGCAGAACGUGUCAGCUGAGAAAAGAGGGGUCCAGGAACAAGAAAGAGCCUUGCCCCCAUUUAAGGGGUGGGCAGAGAGAGGGGAGCCCACAAAGGUGAAAAAGAAGUCAGAGAGACAUAGAAAAAGCACCUGUAGCCUAUGUUGGCAUGGAAACCUGGGGAUGUGGAGCACUUCCAAAAGAGAGCCAACAGACAAAAGAGAAAGGCCAGCUAGACAGGGACCGAGAGCCCACUGGAUGUAGUAAUUAGGGGCCACUAGACCCUCAUCAAGAACAGUUUCCUGUGAGAGAUGGGGCAGAGGAAAAUGAAAGGGCAAGGAAAGCAGGCAGCAUGGCCACCUCUCAGGGAAAGCUGCUAGAGUAACAGUUUGGGCCAGGGGACAAUUUCUGAGCUGGCUCUGGACUGAGAUGACCUAAGGAUAGAUGUGAUAGAAGCAGUCCAGAAGGCUAUCACCUAGAGUCCUCCCACCUGUCUGAGUCAGAGGCAGGAGCAAAGGGCGAGGGUGGGCAAGGAAGGAAAAUGUGCAUAGCUGGCAUCAAGUAGGAAAGUGUAUGUACCUGUACCGGUUGGGAGCUCACCAAAGAAGGGUGAGCAUCUCAACAGGGAUAGAUGAAGAACCAGAGAUGCACUCAAAGAAGGACAAGGCCAGAAACGAGUUCGUGACAUUUUAGGAAUGGGUACAGGAAGAGAGUCCUGCUGAGGAGACUGAGAAGGAGGGGCCAGAGGAGAAGACCAAAAACAUGGGGUUCCUAGAAGCCAGAGGACAGUUUCCAAAAGGACAGAGUGGCCACUGGUGGGCCACAUGCACAGAGGUCAGUGGAGGCUCAGGCAUCUCCUAGACCUGGCCUUUGGGGACUUUUGUCACAGCAACUUUGGGGCACGGGGCAGAAGCUCCUCUUGGUGUGGGGGGAAUGAACUGGGUCUGGCUGAGAAAGGAGGGAGGGGGAGUUGGAGCAGGCAGUGGGUCCAGGAAGGAGCUAAUUCUUCCAGGAGACAUGGGAGGGAGGAAGCAGUACAAGCCCAGUUGGAAGGGCAGGGCGGGGCAGUGAGAGGGGCCCUGGAGCUCUGGGAUUAAGUGUAGAGGUGAAGGGAUUAGCAGUGUUGGUGAAAAGGGACAAAAGUAAAUUAUGUACAUUUUAGCAAGUAACCUGAUCUCCAUGUUCUUUGGGAGGCCUUUUCUCUGCCCUCUGGGUACUGACUCCAGCUCUAAUUAGCACGGGUUUGUCUGCCUCGUGGCUAGGGCCAUGUCUUUCUCAUUUUCUUGUACCUUUCAGCACCUAGCAACAGGCAGCCAGCUAGGUAGGGGCAGAAUAAUUAUUUUCUGCUUGAAAUCCAGUGUCUGAAAUAGAGAUUCAGAAAUUUUUCUUUGUAUCAAAAAGACUUUGUGACAAUAUCCAGGGAGCAAUGAAAUAGGUAAGGUCCAGGUCACAGGCUUGAAUGGGACAUUCAGGGUCUCAGUAGCAGUUCUAUUUGUUGGUAUUGCCUAGACAUCAAAGAAUUCUAUUUCUUCGCUAUUUGGACAGAAGUCAAAGUCCAGAGAGAGGCUUGGUUUAGCUGGCUGAGCUUGGGCCUUGUGCCAUCCCCGAUAGGACCUGGGUGGUAAGAGGCAGGACCUGGAGGAGGGGCCUCCAUAGCUUCCAUGUGAGAGAACGGCCCAGGUCCCACCACAGCCACAUAAGAUAGAAAAUUUCCCUAAAAGUAAUAAGGGGCUUCAGGGAGGAAUAAGGCAUGCUAAAAAGCCAAAACUCCCAGAUAUCCAUUAGAAGAAGUAGCCAGUUCAGAGGCAGGAGACUUCCAGGUAAGAGAGGGGAAGGCCUGAAGUAGACCAGUGGGGAUGGAGAGAGAUCAGAACUUGUGGUAGAUAAAAACCAGAAAUAAUUAGUGAGUACUUAUCUGUGAGAGUGAGAGAGAAGGUCAAGCCAAAGGUAAUUCCCAUGUGUCUUGGUUUUGUUUGUUUGUUUGUUCGUUCAUAGAGACAGGGUCUCACCAUGUUGCCCAGGCUGAUCUCCAUCUCCAGGGCUCAAGCAAUCUUCCCACUUUGACCUCCCAAAGUGCUGCAAUUACAGGCAUGAGCCACCAUGCCCAGUCCCGUGUAUCUUGAGUGGAGUCCUGGGUGGAUGGUGGGGAGGCCCCUGGGGUGGGGAACACAGCAUGGAGAGCCAGUUUGAGGGACAGGAUAGUGGACUCAGACACAGCCAAGUGGGGCCCAGCAGACACUUAGAUCCUGGUGUCCAGGGCUCAGGAAGAGAUUUAGCUGGAAGCACUAGCCCAGGGCUGUCACCACUCAGAGUAAUGGGGACCCUAAGCAUAAGUGAGAUUACCAGGGAGAGUGUGUAGAGAAAAAAUGGGAGAGGGCUCAGGUCAGAAUCAUGAGUCAUAGUGACAUUUGAGGAGCCAGGUGUGGGCAGGCAAAAAAGGAGAAAUAAAAGGAAGGGCCUGAGAGAUGCGACAAACAACCAGGAGAGGGGGUUGCCAUGACAACCAAGUUAGGGAAGAGUUUCAAGGAGAAAGUAAUCAACACUGUCAAAUGCAGCAGAGAAUUCCAAUAAGAUAGAGAAUUUUUCCUUUGGAUUUCAUAAUUAGUAAGUUUUGAUGGCCUUAAUAAGAGCAUGUUGAGGGAGUGAUGGCCUAGGCUGGAAUAAUGGUGAGAUGUGAGAGGACAUGGAUCUGUCACUAGGAGUCCUCUAAGGAGUCCAGAAGGGAGAUUUGGAGAUGUGAAGGGUAGGGGCUGGGAGGCUGAGGCUAGGAAAGAUGAGCAGGUGUAUAGGCUCAGCUCCCAAAGUGUUAAGCAUCCAUUGUUUAAUACGAAAGUUGAUACAUUCCACAUAAUUCUCUUUUAGCACCUAAUUGUGUGCCCAGCCCAGCAGUGUGCCUAGCACUGUGGAUACUUGGGUGAAUGAAUUAAAAUAGUCAGAAUCCCUGUUCUCAUGGUGGUAGGGGAGAAAGACAUAGUCAGAUAAUCACAUAUGUAAAUGUACAAUUUCCAACACUGAUAGGCACUCUGAAGGAAUGGUACUGAGUACUGAAGGGUGUGCCACCAGGGGACCUGCCCUCAUCUGACUCUGGGAGGCUUCCCUGAGGAGGUGAUCCUCCAAACCAAGAUAGAAAGAAGAGAACAAAGUUGACCACAAAGCAAAUUGGAAAGCAUUCUGAGCAAAGGGCCUGACUAGAGAGGAAGGAGAGGUGAGACCAGAGAGACAAGCAGUUCUGGCUAUACAGAGCAUUGGAGACCAGGGCUGAGCUCCUGCCAACAUCCUGAGAGCGAGGGAAGCAGGGGAUGUGACCUGCCCUGGUAUGUUGCUGUAAUCUGCCUGGGACUCUGGCUGUUCUGUGGAGAAAUCAUUAGAGCAGCAUGGGUAGACAGGGAGGCUAGUUCGGAAGCUUUGUUGUAGUGGACAGGAUUUGGACAUGAUCUGCAUAUUCUGGUUAGUCUUGGUGCUGGAUGGAAUGAAGAGGGGCUGGAAGAGGGCAGCGUUCAGGAUGACCCCUGAGCUUCUGGUUUGCCUUACUGGUGAGAUGGCAAUGCCAUUUUCAGAGCUGGGGAGCCCUGGAAAGGGGCCAGGUCUGUAAGGUAGACCCCAAGUCCAGUGGUAAAAGCUGAGACAUCCCAAUGCAGAUGGAGAAGAAACAGCUGAAGGCACAGCUCCAGAGCACAAGGUGAGAAAUUAUGGAGACCAGUCCAGGGCUCCAGGGGGCUCCCAAAUGGAAAUAUGGAUCCAGAUGUUGACAGGCUUCUGGGGCAUUUUUAGGCGAGGGGAUGGCUGAGGACAAAAAAAUCAAGCCCAAGGAGCACCAACAUUUGGAGAUUAGAAAAGAGAAGAAGAAUCCUCUGAGAGCACUGAAAAGAAAGAGCCGGGAGGUGUCUCAGCAGAAAGACAGGGUGGUCAGCAGUGGGUGUGUGCAGAGAGGUCAGGAGGACCAGGGCAAUCCCUGAACUACUCCAGUGUGCACCUGCACAACCUCCAUGGUGCCUCUGGAAUUGGGUAGCAUGGUGGCCCUGCUGAUGAGCACCCCAAGGGGCCAUUGGGGGACCUCUGAGAAUCUCUGCCAGAGCAGUUUGGGUGGGAGUCGAUUAAGGAAAGAAGCAGCAAGAUCCAGGACUUUUAAUCUUAAAAGAGAGAGAAAUGCUGGCAGAUGAACAUUCUGAGGAUAAGGAGCCUGAGUAAUUGAGCGAUUAGGGAUGGAGACAAUUAGUGAGAUGAGCUCCCAAAGGGGCUGGGAUCAACUAUGGAGGUGGAUAAAUUAGUUUGGGGCAAUAAUGUGUAUUUGACUGAAUGGGGCAAAAUUAAAUUAUGUACCUUUUAGAGAGUAACUUGAUCUCCAUGUUCUUUUGGGAGCUUUUAUCUGACCUGUGUACCGACUAUAGUUCUAAUUAGCACCAGUUUUAUCCUGUCUUUUGGCUGGGAUUAUGUCUUAUUAUUUUGUGUGUUUCUCAGCACCUAGCAACAGGUAGUAAGCUCCUUGGGUGCCGAAUCAGUAUUUUCUGCCUUGGAAUCAAAUGUCAGAAGUCAACACUCAAACUUCUUUUGACCAAAAAGAUUCUACGACAAUUAUCCAGAAGUUACAAUGCAAGGAAGAAGAAUUGGAUGUUAAGUCUUGCGUAGCAGGGGUUAUGGGGAGUGGAUCAAGACAAAGUAGAGGUAUCUGCUCCCCUCAUCCUUGUAAGCUCCAUGCCAUUUAUCCAUGCUCACAUUGAUCAUCUCAUACGAGCUUCACAUUUCCCCACAAGAAAUGGAGCGUAACCCCAUUACCUACUCAUAGAGGAGGAACUGGAAGCCAGAGAGGGAGAUGCCUUAUUGACACAGAGCACAAGUGGCAGGAGCUGGCUUCAGACCUCAGUCCAUCCGGUGUGGCAGUCCCUCUUCCCAGGACCAGGUGGAGCUGGAGAGAAGGAGGAAGAGGAGUCUGUGAGGUCCAGAUGGAGAUGCUCGGCAGGCCCUUUCCAAAGGUGGGAGGUGAGGUCGGCCUGGAACCCUACUGGAUGCUUAAGUGUCCUGCCGCACUGCUGAUGAAAGCAGGUCCCCACCGCAGUGUAUAUACAUUGUGUGUUUGCAUCUAAAACGUCUAUAGUUGUUUGAAAUGUUUAAAUCUUUAACCCAUCUGAGAUGUGUUUUCAUGUAUGGUGUGACACAGAGCUCUAAUUUGCUCUUUUUGCAGAUAUCCAGUUUGCUAAGCACCAUUUAUUGUUCCAACACCAUCUUUUCUCUCAAUUCCCUGUCUAGACUCCGGUUCUGUUGAUCUAUUUGUCUAUUUCUGAGCCAAUAGUACAUAUUAAUGAGCAAAGCUUAAUAAAGUGUCUUAUGGCUUGAUAAGAUAAGCACUCCACCCUUCCCCCAAGGCCUUUAUUCCUUUUUUUUCUUUUUGAGACGGAGUCUUGCUCUGCCGCCCAGGCUGGGGUUCAGUGGUGCAGUCUCCGCUCACUGCAACCUCCGCCUCCCAGGUUCAAGUGAUUCUCCUGCCUCAGCCUCCUGAGUAGCUGGGACUACAGGCACGCGCCACCAUGCCCGGCUAAUUUUUGUAUUUUUUGGUGCAGAUAGGGUUUCACCAUGUUGGCCAGGCUAGUCUCAAACUCCUGACCUCAAGUGAUCCACCCAUCUCGGCCUCCCAAGGUGCUGGGAUUAUAGGCAUGAGCCACCGUGCGCAGCCCCUUAUUCUUUUUUAAAAUUGUCUUGGUCAUAUUGCACAUUUACUUUUUCAGGUACAUUUUAUAAUCAGCUUGUCAAAGUUCUGUGAACAAAAUGUCUGUUGGAAGUUUGAGAAGAAUUGCAUUGAAGGGGAAAUUAACAUCUUUAGAAUAUAAGUUCUUCCCAUCUGUGGACAUGGUGUCUGUCUCUUUUUAAUCAGAAUUGUAUUUGUUUUGUUUUGUUUUGUUUUUAAUGCCUUUUAAUAAAGGUUGGUUGCUUUUGUCAUAAAGAUUUUUCACAGUUCUUAAUAGGUUUAUUCCUGAAAACCUUAUUAGUUUUGUUGCUUUUGUGAGUGGAAAAACUUUCCCUUUUUUCAUUUUGCUUUCCAAAUUUUAAUCAGUUUACUAAUCACUAUGCUUCAUUCACAGACACACACACAGCAAAUGUGCUUUGUCCCUGGGCACACAAAUGAAAACACAGCACACAUGUAAAUCAGAGCUAAUUGGCUGAAAAUGAAUUAGAAUUUUUGAAUUAAAUUUUAAUUAUACAAGUAAUACAUGAAUACAUUUUCCUUUAAAUAAAAUUAGAGCAUUUUAGGUAAAGAAGUCUCUACUGGCCUCCCCAGCCUGACCUCAGGCCCCUUCCCCACUUUAGAGGCAGCUGCUGUUAGGCAUUUGCUGUUGAUCCAAAAUGUUCUCCUAUGCGCAUUGAAACAUGUCCUGUGUUCUAUUGUUGCUUUUGUUUGCUUGCAUAGAUGUGGUGGUGUACACACUGGAGGUGCUGCUCCUGAGCUCAGGGCACCUUACGGGACUCUCCUCAUGUCGCGUGUCACCUGCCGCAGCUGGCUCCACUGCCCCUUUCAGCUGGCCGCUGGCAACCAGAACUGAUUGUGCUAUGAUUUAUUUAGUUGUUGCUUAUUGAUCGACUAUUAAAAGGCUUCCAGUCUUGUUUCAAUAAGACAAACCUGUAACAGCAUCCUUGUACAUGCCACUUUUGCUCAUGUACAAGUGUUUUUCUGGAGCAGAUACUUAGAAACAGAAUUGAUGGGUCAUAGAGUCUACACAUCUUAAAUUCUAAUAGUAACUGCUAAAAUGUUCUUCAAAGUACCUUUCUGAUUUAAUUUCAUGCCAGCAGUAUGUGUGUCCAUUUCUCCAGACCAUCUCCAAGUUUUACAUUUUAACCAAUCUGGUGGGUGAAAAAUAAUAUCUUGUUUUAGUUUGCAUUUUUCUGAAUUACCAGGAUGGCUGAAGUCUGUGUCUCCUAUCCAUUUAUAUUUCCUUCUCUGCAUUACUUGUCCAAAUCUUUUGCCCAUUUCUUUUUUUUAGGGUACGUUGUCUUUUCCUUAUUGAUUUUUUAGAAGUUCUUUAUGUAUUUUGUAUACUUUAUGUGUAUUGCAAAUAUUUUCUGUAUUGUGAUUCUUGUCAUUUAAUUGUAUUGUGUCUUUGGAGAAAUCUUAAAUUUUGAUACAGUCAAAUCGAUCUAUUUUAAUUUUAUGUCUUUUUUUCAAUUUUAUUUAAGAAAGCCUUUCCUGUACUGAGGUCAUAAGCAUUUUUCCUGUAUUUCUUCUCUAACAUUUAUCAUUUACAUAUAUGUGUGUGUGUGUGUGUGUGUAUGCCUUUUUUACCACAUGCAAAAAAUAAAUUCCAUAUGCAUACAUGAA
rnacentral:lncRNA from 1 species